rnacentral:tRNA from 1 species
GUGGUUCAGUGGUAGAAUUCUUGCCUUCCACGCAGGAGACCUGGGUUCAAUUCCCGGC